rnacentral:lncRNA from 1 species
UAUAUGCAAUCUCGGCCAAAGGAAGCUGUUUAACAAUCCUCAUGACAAACUGGCUCUGGGAGAAUUGCACUGAUUGAGAAACAAUAAAGAUUAACCUUUGGACAUUCUAGAUUUUCAGCAAAAAUAUAAAUCGGUUUAUCCGUUUCAUUCCGGCAUCCCAGGGUUUCAUCCGCCAUAUCCCAUUUUCAGCAUCAGGUUCUCGUCAAUCAGAAACAUGAAGAGAACUCGUCAAGACAAAUUCAACGAGCCCAAACUCGAUGGGUUUACUAAAAGGCAGUUCAGGGUUACGUCUCCUACCUUCGUGCCCUAACAGCAGACCAGCUCAGUGGUUCCAAAAGACAUUAGUGUUUCAAAUUUCAGAUCCCACAUAUACUUGCAAGUAAACAGAGCGUGUAACAUUCCUAUCACAUCUAGCAAACGAGCUGAUGACCUUGAAGACCUGAACCGAUUUCCACCAAACAUAGCUAAGAACACUCCCGACUGACAUACCUUUUAAACAAAAAAAACCGCAUUACAAUCGGAUCAUCCGUUUGGGAGCUACGAUGCCACAUACACACACACACACACACACACACACACACACACACACACACACACACACACACAC